rnacentral:rRNA from 1 species
CCUACGGGAGGCUGCAGUGGGGAAUAUUGGGCAAUGGGCGCAAGCCUGACCCAGCAACGCCGCGUGAAGGAAGAAGGCUUUCGGGUUGUAAACUUCUUUUCUCAGGGACGAAGCAAGUGACGGUACCGGAGGAAUAAGCCACGGCUAACGACGUGCCAGCAGCCGCGGUAAUACGUAGGUGGCAAGCGUUAGCCGGAUUUACUUGGUGUAAAGGGCGGGUAGGCGGGAAAGCAAGUCAGAUGUGAAAACCAUGGGCUCAACCUGUGGCCUGCAUUUGAAACUGUUUUUCUUGAGUACUGGAGAGGCAGCCGGAAUUCCUAUUGUCGCGGUGAAAUGCGUAGAUAUUAGGAGGAACACCAGUGGCGAAGGCGGUCUGCUGGACCGCACCUGACGCUGAGGCGCGAACGCGUGGGGAGCAAACAGGAUUAGAUACCCCAGUAGUC